rnacentral:rRNA from 1 species
ACAUGCAAGUCGAACGCGAAAGGGACUUCGGUCCUGAGAAGUGGCGCACGGGUGAGUAACGCGUAGAUAACCUGUCUUCAUGUCUGGAAUAAUACGCCGAAAGGGGUACUAAUACCGGAUAUCUUGCUUUUCAUAAGUUAUGCAAGCAAAGGUGGCCUCUGCAUAUGCUACUGCAUGAAGAGGGGUCUGCGUACCAUUAGCUAGUAGGUGGGGUAAUGGCCUACCUAGGCGACGAUGGUUAGCGGGUCUGAGAGGAUGAUCCGCCACACUGGCACUGGAACACGGGCCAGACUCCUACGGGAGGCAGCAGUGAGGAAUAUUGCGCAAUGGGGGAAACCCUGACGCAGCGACGCCGCGUGAGUGAGGAAAGGCCUUCGGGUCGUAAAGCUCUGUCAAGAGGAAAGAAGUGUACAAUGGCUAAUACCUGUUGUAUUUGACGGUACCUCUAAAGGAAGCACCGGCUAACUCCGUGCCAGCAGCAGC